rnacentral:rRNA from 1 species
GUACACGCUGUGACUAGCAUAUCAAUAAGCGGAGGAAAAGAAACUAACAAGGAUUCCCCUAGUAACGGCGAGUGAAGCGGGUAGAGCUCAAAUUUGAAAUCUUAAAGGGUUUCCCUUUACGAAUUGUAGUUUAAAGAAGUGUUUUCUGUUGAGGUUUUGGUAAAAGUUCUUUGGAAUAGGACAUCAUAGAGGGUGAGAAUCCCGUAUUUGACCUUUACUUUCAACUUUGUGAUACACUUUCAAAGAGUCGGAUUGUUUGGGAAUGCAGUCCAAAAUGGGUGGUAAAUUUCAUCUAAAGCUAAAUAUUGGCGAGAGACCGAUAGCGAACAAGUACCGUGAGGGAAAGAUGAAAAGAACUUUGAAAAGAGAGUUAAACAGUACGUGAAAUUGUCAAAAGGGAAGCGUUUGACACCAGUGUUGUUUUUCUGAAAAUCAAUUAAAGAACUGUUUAUGCUAAGUUGUUUAGACUUUAUCAGCUAACUGUUUAGUUUUGAGCUUUUCUUUAAUGCACUUUUCAGUUAACAAGUCAACAUCAAUUUCUUUUGCUGUAAAAAAGUCUUGAGGAAGGUGGCUUGAGAUUCGUCUUAAGUGUUUAUAGCCUCUUGCCUAUGCAGUCGGAGAGAUUGAGGUCUGCAGCGUAGAUCCUUCGGGGCUAAAUGCAUUUGUGCUAAGUUAUAGCAUUUUAUAGACAACUUGUUGACUAUGAUUUGUCUUGUAGCUUACUCGCUUAUGUUAUUUUACCUACGCUUAGGAUGUUGACGCGCGUGUGUGCGUG